rnacentral:tRNA from 1 species
GGAGAGUACCGCUGAAUGGUCGGCGACUGGUCUUGAAAACCAGGGUAGUUAACAGCUAGGGGUUCGAUUCCUCUACUCUCCGCCA